rnacentral:lncRNA from 1 species
UGCAGAGUGGUACCAGGCACGGAGUACUUCCUUGGAAGGAAUUUUAAAGCAGCCUGGGUUGGCAAAGGGCAUGCGAAGAACCAAUCACGCUUGAAUGUGUGUGCACAGUGGGGAAGAAAACAAUACCACUUAAAGUGUUCUUUCGAUGUUCAACCCAACUUUCCCUUCGGAUUCUUGAGCCUGGAUACCCUUUAGAAGCACAUACAAAGCAAACUCCAGUCUUUGAGAGCAUCAAGACUCGGCUCUUUCAGCCCGGAUAUGACUGAUGCAGCUUGACAGGCUCCUCCACCUAGAGCAGCUGCGAAGUCCCAGGGACUGAGUAAUGUGAUUUGGGGCAGGUUUUUCUUCGGUGCCUUGCGAUGAGGAACCAGCUUAACAAGCAGUCAUGUCUGAGUUCUCACUUCACCGCAAACCUUGCUUGAGGACUUCAGAGCUUUAAAGGGCUCUGUUCCCAGAGGAGAAGCAGGAGAAGGCACCUAGAGCCCUGUUCUAUCAGUAAGUGGAGAACAAAAGAUGUACAAGAACAGGAAGGGAAAAUAGUCCUCAGAAUGAUCAAAGUGAGGUUGAGAGGGACAAGCGCCCGAUUUUGAAGACAGGAGACUUAUUUUUCUUACUCAGCCCCUAAUUAUCCAUGUGGACUUGACGAUCUAUUUACUUCUCCUGGCUUAAGUUUUCUCAUCUAUAAAAUGGGGGUGGUGCUACCAUCUCACUGCGAAUCUAUCGUGUGUGUGUGGUGAGAACAAGCACACUAAGAAUGUUAAAAGUAGUAGAAAUGCAUUUUGUAGUAGUGUGUGUGCUAAGUCGCUUCAGUCGUGUUGGACUCUUUGCAACCCCAUAGGCUGUAGCCUGCCAGGUUCCUCUGUCCAUGGGAUUCUCUGAGCAAAAAUACUGGAGGGAGUGUGUUGCCAUGCCCUCCUCCAGGGGAUCUUCACCCAGGAAUCGAACCUAUCUCUUAUGUCUCCUGCACUGGUAGGCAGGUUCCUUACCACUAGAACCGCCAGUAAACUAGUAUAAGUAUUAGCAGCCAGGGACUUUCCUGAUAGUCCAGUGGUUAAGACUCCACUUUCCCAACGCAGGGGGCCUGAGUUUGAUCCCUGGUCAGGCAACUAAAUCCUGCAUCCCAUAACUAUCACCCAUCAUAGUCAAAUAUAUAUAAAUAAAUAAAAUUUUAAAUUAACA